rnacentral:lncRNA from 1 species
AAUGAACAAUUAAAUUACACCAUCUAGAAAAUUACAUUUAAUAGAAAUAUAAUAAUGAAAAUAACAAUAAAAUACCGAUGAUUAAGUAAAUUGCAAAUAAAUAAUAAAUAAUAUAUAAAUAACAAAAAAUGAUAAAUAUAUACCAUUAUAUACGUUUUUAUUAUUUUUUUGCAAUUUAAUUAAUCAUCGGUAUAUUAUUGUUAUUUUAAUUUUAAUAUUUCUAAUAUAUGUAAUUUUCUUGAUGGUGUAAUUUAAUUGUGAAUUUUGAAUUGAUAAAAGGUGUUUUUUCCUAAUUUAUAUUUAUAUAUACAUAUGUAUACAUACAUAUGUGUGUGUGUGUGUGUUUGUGUGUGUGUGUGUGUGUAAAUAUGUGUAUUUAUUCUGUAUAUAUACUACGUGGUCUAACAACCUUUAUAUAUCAGCUCACAGUAAAUACAAACGAAAUACACUUUUAUAUAAAACCUAUGUAAAUAAUUGUUAAACAUAAACGAAAGUGCAAUUUUGACAUACGGAAAGCAGCAGUAAAUCUCUUAUUUCUAAUCAGAUUCUAUUUAAAUAACAAUCCCAUAAACAAGGAUUUUUGACAGAUUGCGAGUAUCUAAUUUACAAUGCAUACAUUUUCAUGAAACCGAAUAGAUGAGACCGGUCUGUGUGAUGUUCAAAGAGAUUCGCUUUGCAGGAUCAGUCCCAUUGCGAGGUAUCUUUGGAACGUGUUUUCUACUUCUACAACAUUCCGAGCAGGGCAAUGCCCUGCGAGUGGUUUCGGUAGACGGAAACUGUGUGGAGGCCUUUCAUGUAUACACUAGCGUAGCUAGGGGUGGGGCGAUCCGCAACGGUCGGAACUUUUAUAGGGGCGGCAAUUUUCGUCCUGAAAAUUGCUGUGCUUUUUGUGUGGUCCGGGAACGGCAAACGGAAGGGCCACCCCGGGUGGCACGUACUCUAGUGCAUAACUGUCUAUCCAUCUAUUUAUCUAUCUAUCUAUCUAUCUAUCUAUCUAUCUAUCUAUCUAUCUAUCUAUCUAUCUAUCUAUCUAUCUCUAUAUAUAUGUUUAAUUAUGUAUUAAUAUUUAGCUGAAGAAUCUGUAACUAAAGGGCCGAGAGUUUGGUUAGCUGGCACAUGUCAAAGAGCCGACGCACAAAACUCUUCUUCAUUCACUCUGUUGGCUCCGCUAAAUAUUAAUAAAAAUAUACAUAUGCUCAUAUUUUUAGUUCUAUGUUUCCUGUUUUCAUCACUACACCUGUAUAUAUAUAUAUAUAUAUAUAUAUAUAUAUAUAUAUAUAUAUAUAUAUAUAUAUAUAAUACAUACAUACAUACAUACAUACAUAUAUAUAUAUAUAUAUAUAUAUAUAUAUAUACGUGUAUAUAUACAUAUAUAUGUAGAUAUGUGUGUAUAUAUAUAUAUAUAUAUGCAUAUACACAUACAUAUAUAUAUACACACAGGUAUAGUGAAUAUAUAUGUGUGUGUGUGUGUGUGUGUGUGUGUGUAUUUUUCUAUGUGCUUGUGUAUGCCUUUGAGUUUGCUCUCCAUUGCCAUUUGAUUGGUUCGGAAAAAUAACCUCGAUGAAUUAGGUAUCAGACUUAAAACCAGAAUUACUACUGUGGUGGGGAUCGAUUCGUUCGACUAAGCCAUUAACGGAACUGCCCCAGCAUGGUCGGCACUCCAUUGACUGAAAUAAGUAAGAGAUCGAAGGUAAUCUAUCUUAAAACGAGCAACUUCCGUUCAUUGUAACACAGGUGAAAGCGCCGGUGUCGAUCUCGCUAUCUUAGUAACACUUAUGCGCUUAUCGUUGACAGCCAACUACAAAGCUAUUACUUGAUUACCAGACCGCUAGAAAUAGUAGUCAAAUCAAUAUCAAUCCGCAUCCCUAAAGCGUAAGAAAUGCAUUUUAAAAAUAACAGCAUACUGGAUACCUUCUACGUUAAGAAAAUAAAGUGAGUAUAUAGGCACAGGAGUGGCUGUGGGGUAAGUAGCUUACUAACCAACUACAUCGCUCUGGGUUCAGUCCCACUGCGUGGCAUCUUGGGCAAGUGUCUUCUGCUAUAGCCCCGGGUCGACCAAUGCCUUGUGAGUGGAUUUGGUAGACGGAAACUGAAAGAAGCCUGUCGUAUAUAUGUAUAUAUAUGUAUGUGUGUGUUUGUGUGUCUGUGUUUGUCCCCCUAGCAUUGCUUGACAACCGAUGCUGGUGUGUUUACGUCCCCGUCACUUAGCGGUUCGGCAAAAGACACCGAUAGAAUAAGCACUGGGCUUACAAAGAAUAAGUCCCGGGGUCGAGUUGCACGAUUAAAGGCGGUGCGCCAGCAUGGCCGCAGUCAAAUGACUGAAACAAGUAAAAGAGUAAAAGAGUAAAAGAGCCAACUACGAAGCUAUUACUUGAUUACCAGACCGCUAGAAAUAGUAGUCAAAUCACUAUCAAUCCGCAUCCCUAAAGUGUAAGAAAUGCAUUUUAAAAAUAACAGCAUACUGGAUACUUUCCACGUUAGGAAAAUAAAGUGAGUAUAU